rnacentral:rRNA from 1 species
AACGAACGCUGGCGGCAUGCCUAACACAUGCAAGUCGAACGAAGCCUUCGGGCUUAGUGGCGCACGGGUGCGUAACGCGUGGGAAUCUGCCCCUCGGUUCGGAAUAACAGUUAGAAAUGACCGCUAAUACCGGAUGAUGACGAAAGUCCAAAGAUUUAUCGCCGAGGGAUGAGCCCGCGUAGGAUUAGCUUGUUGGUGGGGUAAUGGCCCACCAAGGCGACGAUCCUUAGCUGGUCUGAGAGGAUGAUCAGCCACACUGGGACUGAGACACGGCCCAGACUCCUACGGGAGGCAGCAGUGGGGAAUAUUGGACAAUGGGCGAAAGCCUGAUCCAGCAAUGCCGCGUGAGUGAUGAAGGCCUUAGGGUUGUAAAGCUCUUUUACCAGGGAUGAUAAUGACAGUACCUGGAGAAUAAGCUCCGGCUAACUCCGUGCCAGCAGCCGCGGUAAU